UACGGGGGGAGCAAGCGUUGUUCGGAUUUACUGGGCGUAAAGGGCGCGUAGGCGGCCACCGCAAGUCGACUGUGAAAUCUCCGGGCUUAACCCGGAAAGGUCAGCCGAUACUGCGGGGCUAGAGUGCAGAAGGGGCAACUGGAAUUCUCGGUGUAGCGGUGAAAUGCGUAGAUAUCGGGAGGAACAUCAGUGGCGAAGGCGGCCUUCUGGUCCAGUACUGACACUCAAGUGCGAAAGCGUGGGGAGCAAACAGG
rnacentral:rRNA from 1 species